CAAACUGAAGAUGGCGACCGGCGCACGGGUGAGUAACACGUAUCCAACCUGCCGAUAACUCCGGAAUAGCCUUUCGAAAGAAAGAUUAAUACCGGAUGGCAUACGAAUAUCGCAUGAUAUUUUUAUUAAAGAAUUUCGGUUAUCGAUGGGGAUGCGUUCCAUUAGUUUGUUGGCGGGUAACGGCCCACCAAGACUACGAUGGAUAGGGGUUCUGAGGGGAAGGUCCCCCACAUUGGAACUGAGACACGGUCCAA
rnacentral:rRNA from 1 species